GCUUACGGCCAUACCACGACGCCGAUCUCGUCUGAUCUCGGAAGCUAAGCAGGGUCGGGCCUGGUCAGUACUUGGAUGGGAGACCGCCUGGGAAUACCAGGUGCUGUAAGCU
rnacentral:rRNA from 1 species